UGGACAACCUAACCUAUGGAGGGGGAUAACCCCGGGAAACUGGGGAUAAUACUCCAUAGACUAUAAAUGCUGGAAUGCUUUGUAGUUGAAAGGUCCGCCGCCAUAGGAUGGGUCUGCGGCCGAUUAGGUUGUUGUUGGGGUAACGGCCCAACAAGCCUGUAAUCGGUACGGGUUGUGGGAGCAAGAGCCCGGAGAUGGAUUCUGAGACACGAAUCCAGGCCCUACGGGGCGCAGCAGGCGCGAAAACUUUACAAUGCGGGAAACCGUGAUAAGGGAACUCCGAGUGCCCGUAAAAUCGGGCUGUCCAUCUGUGUAAAAAACAGGUGAAGAAAGGGCCGGGCAAGACCGGUGCCAGCCGCCGCGGUAAUACCGGCGGCUCGAGUGGUGGCCACUAUUACUGGGCUUAAAGCGUUCGUAGCUGGUCUGUUAAGUCUCUGGGGAAAUCUACUGGCUUAACCAAUAGGCGUCUCAGGGAUACUGGCAGACUAGGGACCGGGAGAGGUGAGAGGUACUCCA
rnacentral:rRNA from 1 species